AAAAAAUCACUCUCUCUCUCUGUAAUCUCUCUCUUUCAUCAUUCAUCAUGCCUUUUCUUCAAAACAAUUUCACACAAUUUUCACAUUUGCUUUUCUUAUUCCUCCUCUGUUUUUUACAGUGUAAAUUGGCUACUUCUUCCAUGUCUAUUCAUGAUCUACUAAAAUCAAAAGGAUUACCAGCUGGACUCCUCCCUAAAGAAGUGAAAUCUUACAAUUUAUCAGAUUCUGGUUUUCUUCAAGUUUUUUUAGAUGGGCCUUGUUUGGCUAAAUUUGAUACUAUGGCUUUAUAUGAUAGUGUUGUAAGAGCAAAUCUCACUUAUGGUUCACUAGGCGCUGUGGAAGGAUUUUCUCAACAAGAGCUUUUUGUUUGGUUACCUGUUAAAGGAAUUGUGGUUGAUAAUCCUUCAUCUGGUCUUAUACUUUUUGAUAUUGGUUUGGCUCAUAAACAACUCUCUCUUUCACUUUUUGAAGAUCCUCCUAAUUGCAAACCAGAUGGUGUUCUGAAGAAGAAUGGUAGGAAGGAGAAGGGAUUUGAAGAUCAAUAAUAAAGAAAUGCCCAUUUUGGAAAAUUAUUAAAUGUCCAUAAUAAUUAUGGAUUUUG
rnacentral:misc_RNA from 1 species